rnacentral:rRNA from 1 species
UACGUAGGUGGCAAGCGUUGUCCGGAUUUACUGGGCGUAAAGGGCGUGCAGGCGGUCUGUUAAGUGCAGGGUGAAAGCUCCCGGCUCAACUGGGGAGGGUCACGCGAUACUGAUCGACUCGAAGGCAGGAGAGGGUAGUGGAAUUCCCGGUGUAGUGGUGAAAUGCGUAGAUAUCGGGAGGAACACCAGUGGCGAAGGCGACUACCUGGCCUGUUCUUGACGCUGAGGCGCGAAAGCUAGGGGAGCAAACGGG